AGAGUUUGAUCCUGGCUCAGGACGAACGCUGGCGGCGUGCUUAACACAUGCAAGUCGAACGGUGAACCAGAGCUUGCUCUGGGAAUCAGUGGCGAACGGGUGAGUAACACGUGGGCAACCUGCCCCAGACUCUGGGAUAACCUCGGGAAACCGAUGCUAAUACCGGAUACGACCACUUCGGACAUCCGACGGUGGUGGAAAGUUUUUCGGUCUGGGAUGGGCCCGCGGCCUAUCAGCUAGUUGGUGGGGUAAUGGCCUACCAAGGCGACGACGGGUAGCCGGCCUGAGAGGGCGACCGGCCACACUGGAACUGAGACACGGUCCAGACUCCUACGGGAGGCAGCAGUGGGGAAUAUUGCACAAUGGGCGAAAGCCUGAUGCAGCGACGCCGCGUGAGGGACGACGGCCUUCGGGUUGUAAACCUCUUUCAGCAGGGACGAAGCGAAAGUGACUGUACCUGCAGAAGAAGCACCGGCUAACUACGUGCCAGCAGCCGCGGUAAUACGUAGGGUGCAAGCGUUGUCCGGAUUUAUUGGGCGUAAAGAGCUCGUAGGCGGUUUGUCGCGUCGGAUGUGAAAACCUAUGGCUUAACCAUGGGCCUGCAUUCGAUACGGGCAGACUAGAGUUCGGUAGGGGAGACUGGAACUCCUGGUGUAGCGGUGGAAUGCGCAGAUAUCAGGAAGAACACCGAUGGCGAAGGCAGGUCUCUGGGCCGACACUGACGCUGAGGAGCGAAAGCGUGGGGAGCAAACAGGAUUAGAUACCCUGGUAGUCCACGCCGUAAACGGUGGGCGCUAGGUGU
rnacentral:rRNA from 1 species